ensembl:lncRNA
GAAGACCCUCUUCUCUCACUAAGCCCCACUCCUCUUCCCCCAUCCCUCUCUCUGAGCCCAUUUCUACCCCCAGUCUGGCCUCCUGAGCCCCCCACCUCCUUGCACACUGCACACUACCAAGUACCCACUUGGGCUGCAUGUGCCAUCUACAGGGCUUCUGGACAGGGCAGUCACAGAGGAGCCUGAGCUGCGAUUGGACCAAACUGGGCUCACUCCAUAUCCCACUUCACUACAGCCAAGCCUCCCAGGCCAGAAGGAGGGGAGAGGACUUGGGAAGAUCCCCUGGAGACAGAAAUGGCAACCCACUCCAAUAUUCUUGCCUGGAGAAUCCUAUGGACAGAGCGAGUCAGACACGACUGAAGCGACUUGGGACACACGCACAGAUAAUGACAAAGAGAAAAAGAGUAACCUUACUGUGGGCGAACUGGCGGACCCCACCUUAACCAAGUGAUCAAAGAGGACAUCAGUAGUAAUUGGGCAAAGUGAAAUUGUGUGCCCCUCCAUAAGUGAUGUAAAAGCAUCACUUCUGUGGUCUUCUUGCCUGAAGCACCUGAUCUAUUCAUAAGGAAAGAUCAAAAAGAUUCCAAAUAAAGGGACAAUUAGCCUAUAC